CCCGAGCGAAAUAUGAGGUGCUGCUCCUCCAAUUUACGGUGGGAUUCACUCUGGCCAUGGAGGAGGCCCAGGACAGAAAGGUCGGAUUUGGAAUGGAAGGGGGAGUCGAAGUGCUGAGGCACCGGCAGAUCAGGUUGGUUAGUGCGGACUGAGA